UCCUACGGGAGGCAGCAGUGGGGAAUCUUAGACAAUGGGCGCAAGCCUGAUCUAGCGAUGCCGCGUGAGUGAUGAAGGCCUUAGGGUCGUAAAGCUCUUUCGCCUGUGAAGAUAAUGACGGUAGCAGGUAAAGAAACCCCGGCUAACUCCGUGCCAGCAGCCGCGGUAAUACGGAGGGGGUUAGCGUUGUUCGGAAUUACUGGGCGUAAAGCGCACGUAGGCGGACUAGUCAGUCAGAGGUGAAAUCCCAGGGCUCAACCCUGGAACUGCCUUUGAUACUGCUAGUCUUGAGUUCGAGAGAGGUAAGUGGAAUUCCGAGUGUAGAGGUGAAAUUCGUAGAUAUUCGGAGGAACACCAGUGGCGAAGGCGGCUUACUGGCUCGAUACUGACGCUGAGGUGCGAAAGUGUGGGGAGCAAACAGGAUUAGAUACCCUGGUAGUCCACACCGUAAACGAUGAAUGCCAGACGUCGGGUAGCAUGCUAUUCGGUGUCACACCUAACGGAUUAAGC
rnacentral:rRNA from 1 species